AGCGAACGCUGGCGGCAGGCCUAAUACAUGCAAGUCGAACGGCUCUUCGGAGCAGUGGCGGACGGGUGAGUAACACGUGGGAACGUGCCCUUUGGUACGGAACAGCUGAGGGAAACUUCAGCUAAUACCGUAUGUGCCCCCAUUCUUAGCGGGAUGGGUGGGAAAGAUUUAUCGCCAUUGGAGCGGCCCGCGUUGGAUUAGCUAGUUGGUGGGGUAAAGGCCCACCAAGGCUACGAUCCAUAGCUGGUCUGAGAGGAUGAUCAGCCAACACUGGGACUGAGACACGGCCCAGACUCCUACGGGAGGCAGCAGUAGGGAAUCUUGCGCAAUGGGCGAAAGCCUGACGCAGCCAUGCCGCGUGAAUGAUGAAGGUCUUAGGAUUGUAAAAUUCUUUCACCGGGGAAGAUAAUGACGGUACUCGGAGAAGAAGCCCCGGCUAACUUCGUGCCAGCCGCCGCGGUAA
rnacentral:rRNA from 1 species